rnacentral:misc_RNA from 1 species
UCCGGUUUGUCACCGGCAGUCUCCUUAAAGUGCCCAACUGAAUGAUGGCAACUAAGGACAAGGGUUGCGCUCGUUACGGGACUUAACCCAACAUCUCACGACACGAGCUGACGACAGCCAUGCAGCACCUGUCACUCGAUUCCCGAAGGCGCCAAAGCAUCUCUGCUAAGUUCCGAGGAUGUCAAGACCUGGUAAGGUUCUUCGCGUUGCGUCGAAUUAAACCACAUGCUCCACCGCUUGUGCGGGCCCCCGUCAAUUCAUUUGAGUUUUAACCUUGCGGCCGUACUCCCCAGGCGGUCGACUUACCGCGUUAGCUGCGCCACCAAAGGGUCAAGCCCCCCGACGGCUAGUCGACAUCGUUUACGGCGUGGACUAC